UACGUAGGGGGCAAGCGUUUGUCCGGAAUCAUUGGGCGUAAAGAGCGCGUAGGCGGCCCAGUAAGUCCGCUCUGAAAGUCAGGGGCUCAACCCCUGAAUGCGGGUGGAUACUGCUGGGCUAGAGUCCGGAAGAGGCGAGUGGAAUUCCUAGUGUAGAGGUGAAAUUCGUAGAUAUUAGGAAGAACACCAGUGGCGAAGGCGGCUCACUGGCCCGGUACUGACGCUGAGGCGCGAAAGCGUGGGGAGCAAACAGG
rnacentral:rRNA from 1 species